GACGAACGCUGGCGGCGUGCUUAACACAUGCAAGUCACGGGGGCCCGCAAGGGUAACCGGCGAACGGGUGCGUAACACGUGAGCAAUCUGCCGUACACUGGGGGAUAGCCGGCCCAACGGCCGGGUAAUACCGCAUACGUUCCUCGCCUGGCAUCAGGUGGGGAGGAAACCUCCGGGGGUGUACGAGGAGCUCGCGGCCUAUCAGCUAGUUGGUGGGGUAACGGCCUACCAAGGCGAUGACGGGUAGCUGGUCUGAGAGGAUGGCCAGCCACAUUGGGACUGAGAUACGGCCCAGACUCCUACGGGAGGCAGCAGUGGGGAAUAUUGCGCAAUGGCCGCAAGGCUGACGCAGCGACGCCGCGUGGGGGGAUGAAGCAUUUCGGUGUGUAAACCCCUGUUGCCCGGGACGAACAACUGGUUUUGACCAGUCUGACGGUACCGGGUGAGGAAGCACCGGCUAACUCCGUGCCAGCAGCCGCGGUAAU
rnacentral:rRNA from 1 species